GUAGGUGGCAAGCGUUGUCCGGAAUUAUUGGGCGCAAAGCGCGCGCAGGCGGUUCUUUAAGUCUGAUGUGAAAGCCCACGGCUCAACCGUGGAGGGUCAUUGGAAACUGGAGAACUUGAGUACAGAAGAGGAAAGCGGAAUUCCACGUGUAGCGGUGAAAUGCGUAGAGAUGUGGAGGAACACCAGUGGCGAAGGCGGCUUUCUGGUCUGUAACUGACGCUGAGGCGCGAAAGCGUGGGGGGAGCAAACAGGAUUAGAUACCCUGGUAGUCCACGCCGUAAACGAUGAGUGCUAAGUGUUAGGGGGUUUCCGCCCCCCCCUUAGUGCUGCAGCUAACGCAUUAAGCACUCCGCCUGGGGAGUACGGCCGCAAGGCUG
rnacentral:rRNA from 1 species